AUGGUACCAUAUAUUGUCUGAUAUGUAAAUGCAGAAUAAUCUCAUCCAAUUGUAAGGAGCCUUCCACUUGCCCCUUUACCCUCAUUUUUAUUCUUUUAUUUUGGUUUAAUGAACUUGGAAGCUGAGAAUAAAGAAAGAGGAAUGGGUCAGGUCUGCUGUGAAUCCUCUCUAAUCUUACAUAUAGUUGAAGCCCACUAUCAAGAGCUUGAGAGUUGAGAUUCUUUGGGAAACAUGACAUACAGUUGACCAUUGUUUUUUUUAUCAAAAAGAUAAGGCAUGUCAACCACAUCCACACUACAUUUUUCUCUCUCCAUUAUAUCCAUUGUCAUUUUAGCUUGUGGCCAUGAUUCUGACUCUAAAUCUGGCAAACCUCGCAAGAAGAGGACAAGUAAUUACAAUCACGCAAUGAACACUGCUGAUGCCGGUGGCGGUGGCGGUGGCAGUGGGCAUGGGCAUGGGCAUCAUGGAGGUGAUGAUGGUGGUGCAGGUUGCGGAGGCGGCGAUGGUGGGGGCAAUUAAUCCUUGAAAGUCGCAGUGCUUUCUUUGGCUUUUGCUUAUGUUGAAGAGAUAGUACGAGCUUUGCGGUUUUCAUUUGUUGUCUGCCAUGUGUGCUUUUUCUUUUUCGAGCUUUUCUCUUCGCUUUCAAGUUUAGUGUUAGAGAAAAUUUCUAGUUUUUACUCACUUUUAUUUGAAUAAUAAAGAUUGGCACUUACCUCCAAAAUA